rnacentral:rRNA from 1 species
AACGAACGCUGGCGGCAGGCCUAACACAUGCAAGUCGAACGAUAAGCCACCUUCGGGUGGUGGACAGUGGCAGACGGGUGAGUAACGCGUGGGAACGUGCCUUUCGGUUCGGGAUAACCCAGGGAAACUUGGGCUAAUACCGGAUACGCCCUUCGGGGGAAAGAUUCAUUGCCGAAGGAUCGGCCCGCGUCUGAUUAGCUAGUUGGUGGGGUAAUGGCCCACCAAGGCGACGAUCAGUAGCUGGUCUGAGAGGAUGAUCAGCCACAUUGGGACUGAGACACGGCCCAAACUCCUACGGGAGGCAGCAGUGGGGAAUAUUGGACAAUGGGCGCAAGCCUGAUCCAGCCAUGCCGCGUGAGUGAUGAAGGCCUUAGGGUUGUAAAGCUCUUUCGUCCGGGACGAUAAUGACGGUACCGGAAGAAGAAGCCCCGGCUAACUUCGUGCCAGCAGCCGCGGUAA